GACGAACGCUGGCGGCGUGCUUAACACAUGCAAGUCGAACGGAAAGGCCCUGCUUUUGUGGGGUGCUCGAGUGGCGAACGGGUGAGUAACACGUGAGUAACCUGCCCUUGACUUUGGGAUAACUUCAGGAAACUGGGGCUAAUACCGGAUAGGAGCUCCUGCUGCAUGGGGGGGUUUGGAAAGUUUCGGCGGUUGGGGAUGGACUCGCGGCUUAUCAGCUUGUUGGUGGGGUAGUGGCUUACCAAGGCUUUGACGGGUAGCCGGCCUGAGAGGGUGACCGGCCACAUUGGGACUGAGAUACGGCCCAGACUCCUACGGGAGGCAGCAGUGGGGAAUAUUGCACAAUGGGCGGAAGCCUGAUGCAGCAACGCCGCGUGCGGGAUGACGGCCUUCGGGUUGUAAACCGCUUUCGCCUGUGACGAAGCGUGAGUGACGGUAAUGGGUAAAGAAGCACCGGCUAACUACGUG
rnacentral:rRNA from 1 species